rnacentral:tRNA from 1 species
UCUGGGGUAGUUUAAUGGUAAAACGCCUCGCUGUUAACGAGGUUAGUGUAGGUUCGAUUCCUACCCCCAGAGCAA